AGUCCAUGGUGUGGACAUUUCCGAAACAAAUUUCUAAACCUUUUCCAUAUUUCAUAUAAUGAUUCACCAUCUAAUUGACUAAAACUAGUAAUGUCCAUUUUAAGUUU